rnacentral:rRNA from 1 species
UACAGAAGUGCGAGCGUUAUUCAUAGUUACUGGGCGUAAAGGGUAUGUAGGUAGAGCAGAAAAUUUUGCUAUAAAAUCUGGAGUCAUACUUCAGAAACAAGCUUUUAGAUUACUGCUCUUUGAGUUAAUAACGGGUCGGGAGGAACUUUUAGCGAAAAGGUAGAAUUUGCCAAUUCUAAAAGGAACACAAAGGCAAAGGCAUCCCUCUAGUGUUAACUGACGCUGAGGUACGGAAGCGUGGGUAUCAAACAGG